GUGGUAAGAAAUGCAGUUAAUAAAGGUUGUGACUUCAAUAAACAGUUUCAGAGCAGGAAUGCUUCCGAAUAAGUGUUUGAAGCUGUAGCUUUGCCCUGCUGUUUGCACCAUUUUCUUUGAGUGGUCUUUCCUGAAAUCUGAUUAGGAGUUGCACUUUUUAACUUCAGUCAAACGCAGUCACUUACAUUUCUUUGCUAAAACACCAGGUUGAAAUUGAAAUGCUGUAUAUCUAAUACAUUUUACUAAAAGACACAGGGUUAUCGUGGUCUGUAUUUUGCUUAAAUUCUUCUUAUUGACUGGCUAGAGGCUUCAGGAGCAUCUAGGCAUAGGCACUCACUUGAAGCUGAGGCUGGUGCCCAGUGGAAUACAGCUCAUGUGAACCGCUCAUGACUAGUCUUUCCACUUUCCUGCCAGGUGGCUGUGUUGUCCAGCUCCUUGUUAAAUCAACUGAAUUCCCUGAAUGUCAGAUAUGACACUUUAAGGGCUUCCAGGCUUUCAUUUUUAAGGUCUGACUAUCAAAGCUUCCUAUUCAUUGCAUAGUCUGCUAGGUAAGUAUCCACCUUAUUUGGCUGAAUUAAUAGCUAGUGUUGCUGUUUUGGCAUUACAUUUUGCAUAUUAGGAAUUAUAUUUUAAGGAAUUUUCUUCAAACCUAUAUAACUAAUUUAGUUGCAAAUCUGUAAGGUAAUCAGGCUUUCACUUCUAUGUCUUGCAUAGGCUCUGAGCAAACACAAGAAAGAUUUCUAUCCACUCUCCUGCAAGAAUGUUGGUGCACCCUUUUAGACACAAAUCUACUGGAAACACUGAAGAACUACAAUGAUUUGUUUUUCCUACUAUUUAAUGGGAACAUAUCCUUCCUGAGUGCAUUCCUACAUGUUAUGAUGUUGUAUGGAGCUGUGAUGUUGGCCUAUGAAUAUGAGAAACACCUGCUUUCAUCAGAGCACAAUGUUUUGUAUGCUUCAAAACAUGAUCACUUUUCCACCUAUAGCAGUUUGCUCAAUAAAAAACAUUCCUUCUCCUAUAAGAUCCUGCCAUGCUGAAUGCAUUUUUGUUCUGUGCAGAACAACUUGCUGUACCAGGACUUAUUUUGCUGAUCAUUGACGUGAUGUAGAACAGGCAGUGCCUGGCUUGAAAUGAAAAUCUAUACUCUCUAUAUUAUUUCAUGGAGUGCAGCCAUCAACCUGAAGGUGCCAUUUUGAAGCCAUAAGAGCACUUCAGUCAACUGAAAAACAAAACAAAAGACAAUAAACAAACCAAACAAACAAAUAAACA
rnacentral:lncRNA from 1 species